CCUACGGGAGGCAGCAGUAGGGAAUAUUGGGCAAUGGAUGCAAGUCUGACCCAGCCAUGCCGCGUGCCGGAUGAAGGCCCUCAGGGUUGUAAACGGCUUUUAUUCGGGAAGAAGAGCAGGGAUGCGUCCUUGUGUGACGGUACCGAAUGAAUAAGCACCGGCUAACUCCGUGCCAGCAGCCGCGGUAAUACGGAGGGUGCGAGCGUUGUCCGGAUUUAUUGGGUUUAAAGGGUGCGUAGGUGGCUGUUUAAGUCAGUGGUGAAAUACGGUUGCUCAACAAUCGAGGUGCCAUUGAUACUGAAUAGCUUGAAAUAAUUGGAGGCUGCCGGAAUGGAUGGUGUAGCGGUGAAAUGCAUAGAUAUCAUCCAGAACACCGAUUGCGAAGGCAGGUGGCUACGAUUGGUUUGACACUGAGGCACGAAAGCAUGGGGAGCAAACAG
rnacentral:rRNA from 1 species